CGGGUGUAGCUCAAUGGUAGAGCUCCAGCUUCCCAAGCUGAUAACGUGGGUUCGAUUCCCAUCACCC
rnacentral:tRNA from 1 species